GAGGCACUCUGGGAAGGCAACCUAGGAAGGGUGGGGCCCUGGGGCCUUUUGAGGAGCUAAGUGGCCAAGGAGAGGUGCGUUUAGUUAUCUCAGAAGUCCGUUGCCCUCGUGGUGUCCAUUCUGUAACUGUUCUCACAAGACAAGACAGCCUGAGUUGUUUACAGCCAGCAACUCUUCCUGUCUGAGAGCGGUGUCUCCCGUUGGGUUUCCCUAGUGCCUCACCUUGGUCCAGAUGGCCGAAGGGGACCGUUUCCUGUGGCCUCUUCGCACUGUUCUAGGUGUUAACGAUCCCCCCCGCCCCGCCCCUACUGACUUCCUCAUCCUAGCCUUUUACUUCUUUUCUGCCUGGCCUCUGAUUUUACAAUAUACUAUGGGGAGAAAUGUCUCUGAAGUUUUACUUCAGCCUGAAAUGUAUAAGACAAGCCCUCAAGAGUUUCCAAAAUCAUAAAUACGUUGCUUUGUGAGUCUCUUGUUGGAAGGACUGUCUUUAAAUUAAAGCAAUUAGAGUUACUUUAUAAGAUUUACCCAAAUAUAAGAGCUGAAGAGAAUAAUUCAAAUUGAUCAGAAGAAAAUACUCAAUUACUGACAAAUGUCAAUUACAUCAAUAGGAGGAGAAAAUGUGUAAUUGUAAGCAGCUGAACUAAAAUAUCUCUGUGACAUUUUGCUGGUGACUCCAGCCCUGUGAGAUCUGAGUGGCUCAGGAAUCAAAUUCUCCCACAAACCUGAGGAAGCCUUUUAUUCUUAAUGCCAACAGGAUGCCCCAUGCCCAGAAUGUCAAAUCUGAACACCAAUGGAAUGCAUUUUAUAAACAAAUUGAAAAAGGACAAUCUUUAACAGAAUUGUUGUUCUCUAGGCAGAUUAGUUGUGCUUCAAAUACAAAAUGAAAUAUUAGAGAACAAAAUUAUUUUUAAACAGCUAAUACUAGUAGAAAAUAAAAGGCUGAAAAGUGCUAUAAUGUGUAAAAGGACUAAAA
rnacentral:lncRNA from 1 species